rnacentral:rRNA from 1 species
CGCGUAGGCGGUGGUGUAAGUCAGAUGUGAAAACCAUCGGCUUAACCGAUUGGAUUGCAUUUGAUACUGCAUCACUUGAGUUCAGUAGAGGAGAGUGGAAUUCCCAGUGUAGCGGUGGAAUGCGUAGAUAUUGGGAAGAACACCAGUGGCGAAGGCGGCUCUCUGGACUGAUACUGACGCUGAGGCGCGAAAGCUAGGGGAGCGAACAG